rnacentral:rRNA from 1 species
CGGAUCAGCAUGCCGCGGUGAAUACGUUCUCGGGCCUUGUACACACCGCCCGUCACACCAUGGGAGUCGGUAACACCCGAAGUCUGUAGCCUGACGCAAGAGGGCGCAGCCGAAGGUGGGAUUGAUGACUGGGGUGAAGUCGUAACAAGGUAGC